UUGGUUUUUGUUCUAUACAACAUUGCUUGCAUUUUAUUUUGAUUUUAUUAAAAGAAAAAAAAAUCAAACCAAAACCAGAUACCAAAAACCAACCAACCAACCAACCAACCAAGUCUGGGAAAACGGGUCAGUAGUUCAGAACACUGGCUGUUCUUUUUUUAAAAAAAGAUUGAUUUAUUUCUCUUAGGUAUAUGAGUACACUGUAGCUGUACAGAUGGUUGUGAGCCAUCAUGUAGUUGCUGGGAAUUGAACUCAGGACCUCUGCUUUCUCCCGUUCUGCUCACUCUUUCCCAAAGAUUUAUUUAUUUUAUAUGUAGUACAUACACUGUAGCUGUCUUCAGAGACCCCAGAAGAGGUCAUCAGAUUUUAUUACGGAUGGUUGUGAGCCACCAUGUGGUUGCUGGGAUUUGAACUCAGGACCUCUGGAAGAGUAGUUAGUGCUCUUACAUGCUGAGCCAUCUCUCCAGCACCCUGGAUGCUCUUCUAAAGGACCCAAGUCCAAUUUCCAGAACACACAGAAAUCCAGUCUCAGAUCUAGCACAUUAUUUUGGCCUCCUGGGUACCAGCACAUACAUGAUGCAGACAUAUAUGCAGUUAAAACACCCACACACAUAAAUAAAUGAAUAAAAUUUAAAAUAAUAAUUAUCUUAGAACAAAGAAAAACUACUGCCUACCACAAACAAAUACAUGUUAUGUUGGUUCUGUUUUGUUCUGUUUUUCUUUUUUUGGCUUUGAGACAGGGUUUUUCUGUGUAUCCCCAGCCAUCCUAGAGCCCUAUCAUCUUAGAAUUUUUUUUUUUUGAGACAGGGUUUCUCUGUAUAGCCCUGUGUGGGGAGCCGCCCUCACAUUCGCCGUUACAAGAUGGCGCUGACAUCCUGUGUUAUAAGUGGUAAACAAAUAAUCUGCGCAUGUGCCAAGGGUAGUUCUCCACCCUAUGUGCUCUGCCUUCCCCGUGAGGACAACUCGGCCGAUGGGCUGCAGCCAAUCAGGGAGUGACACGUCCUAGGCGGAGGAUAAUUCUCCCUAAAAGGGACGGGGUUUCACCAUUCUCUCUCUUGCUCUCUUGCGCUCUUGCUCCUAAAGAUGUAAGCAAUAAAGCUUUUGCC
rnacentral:lncRNA from 1 species